rnacentral:lncRNA from 1 species
CCUUUGGCCUUAAAACCUGAAAACACAUAAAACUAGCUUAAAAGACUACUUUAACUAAGAAAACACCAUGGAAAAGCAUAAGAACUAGCCAAUUAAGGCGCAUCAAGAAGGGGAAUAUUGACUUGUACUUUUCUGAAUGUUUCAAGGAUGUCUUUUUCACUUUCUUCCAUCUUUGUUUGCAUGAAUCUACGAGGGAAAG